UUAGAAUUGGCGUUGUUUCAACCUACCUCUGUUUUAACUCACCUCGGCCUCCUAAUAUUUGAUUAAUUUCUACAAACUAAUUUUAGCACAUCGGCGAUGCAACAGCUAAAGAUGGUGGGAAGCUACAGAUCAUUGUUCAAAAACUAAGUGAAUUGAGUCAAAAAGUUAAUAGUAACAACCUAAGCAAUGAUGAAAAAAAAGUAAUUGAAUCACAUGGUCAGUCAGGGGCUUCAACAUGAGGCAACAGAGGCGCUGGCAAAAUUACAAGGCAAGAUAAUGAAUACACUGAGUAAUGAAAACGCACCUGCUGCAGCUAAAUUGCUAUUUCAAGUCAUGGCGAAG